UCACUGAGGUUUUUCUCUUUUAUUGCAGAUUAUCACUCAGCCCAGGAUUCACUGUGGAUCUCCUCCCUCCUCAUGCUACCACCUUGCCCUUGUCUCUCCCUUUCUCUCUUUUUGUCCACAUCCCUCCUCUCUUGUACAGUGGUCCACAGAUUUCUAGGUUCCAUCUCAAUCCCACACUGGGACAGUUUUGGUAAAUCCCUCAUGCACUGGUGCCUGGAAGCUGCCUCCAUGAAGUAAGCUGGGCAACAAUAGUGCUCAUCUCAUCUGUCUUCCUUAUCUCUGUGCUACCUGAUGUACAAGGUCCAAAAUUUGUUUAAUAUAUUUUGUCCAGUUUUCUAGUUGUAAGGUCAACUCUACCUUUAACUGUGAAAAAGAAGUAAUGGUAAUUUAUUUAUUUAUUUUUUGGGGUAUUUUUACAAAUGUAUUAUUUUAUGAUGGGAGGAUAUGUGAUAAUAACCUUAUCAUUCAACCACACAUUAUUUGAGACCUGCCGUAGAUAAGGUUUCCUCCAGACAUGUUGACUGAGUCUUGGGGAUGAACAGAGCUAGUUCAGGUAAAGAACUUGAGGAAAGGAGGGAGCAUUUUCCGUUCGGGGGAUUCUUCUCUGACUCAUGGGCAUCUUGGAGACAUAUGGAAGGAAGAAAUCCCUGACUAUUCCAUCUAGAAAUUGUAACUGGGGUUUAUUGCAAAGCUAGAGAUACCUGUACCAUGCAAAAAAAUUAUGGAAGUAAUAAUAGUUUCCCUGAGCACGCUUAUAUUUAGGACUCUUUUCUUAGGGUCCUGUCCCAUUCUUCUGUACGUACCCCACAAGCUAUUACCAGGAGGAAUAGGUCAGACAAAACUGUGGUGCAAUUUUCACGAUCACCACCAGAGGGCGCGGCUUCCUUCAGAUGCGGUUCCUCAUUGUAUUCAGGAGCUGGUUUCACUUGCCUGCUUUGUAGCCACAAGACAGAAUAUUGCUGCAGUACAGAAAGGGGCUCUCAGUUUCUGAGCGAGGAGCUUCUGUAACAUCCAGAUGAAGACUAGAUUUGUUAGACUGGUGUAUUGCAGGGAACAAGGAUCGUUUUCUUUGGCGAACAUGCAUUCUGCCACUCACUCAGUUCUUCUGAUCAUCUUAAUAUUCAGAGGGACCAAUGGUGACUCAGUGAACCAGACAGAGGGCCCAGUGACUGUCUCAGAGGGGGCUCUCAUGACCCUGAACUGCACUUACCAGACUACUGAUUUGGCUCCUUAUCUUUUCUGGUAUAUCCAGCAUUUCAACAAAGCUCCUCAACUCCUCCUGAAGGGCUCGAUGUCAGACCAGAACCCAAAGAGUAAAGGUUUCCAGGCCACUCUUGUUAAGCGUGACAGCUCCUUCCACCUGCAGAAACGGGCAGUGCAAGCAUCAGACUCGGCUGUGUACUACUGUGCUCUGUGUGACACAGUGAGAGAGGGCUGCGGGGCAGCUGAGCACAAACCCCAAGUGCAGAUGGGGCUCUGGCUGUGGGCAGCCCUGCAGGGGGGUUGCUGUUUCUGUCUUCAGUGUUUUAUGCUAGCUGUGUUGUUGUUUAUGUACUAAGUCACGUCCGACUCUUUUGCGACCCUAUGACUGUAGUGGGCUCUUCUGUCCAUGGGAUUUCCCGGGCAAGAAGACUGGAGUGGGUUGCCAUUUCUUUCUCUUGGGAAUUAUCCCAACCCAGGAAUGGUACCCGUGUCUCCUGUUUGGCAGGCAGAUUAUUUACCACUGAGCCACGUGGGAAGCCCCUGUUUUAUGCCAGAGGCAUUGUCAAAGUACUUCCAGCUCUGACGCUCAGUGCCAAGAACACUGCAAAUCUUGGAUUGGUCUACAGAGAGGAAUCUGGGAGGGACAGUGAAGAGAGGAAUCUAAAAGGCCUUCUCCAGAAAUGCCUGUUUUGAGCCCAGUGACAUUUCUCCAGAUGGCAUAGAAUUCCUGGAAGUGACAUUAACUCUGUUCAAUGACAGUUCAGUUGAUAUAUGCUGAAAUAUGUCACAACCUGUUGAUGAAAACUCCCAGGACACCUCGUUCAUGGAUGCACGUAUGACCUUGAAGCUACUGUCUGAUUUUUAUAAUUCAGACCAGCAUUUUGUGUCUUGCUGAGUUUCACCUGCAGACACUCCGUCUUUAGUGUCUGGGACCUUUACACUCUCUUCCCUUGACUUUUCCAACUCUUAUGGUUGCUCAAGAAAUGCUGCUGCUGUGAGUCCCAUGAAGAUGGUUUCCUGAAAAGAUAUUCCUUCUGUCAAGGGCCCUGUGGGUCAGAGCAGUCUAGUCAGUGAACAUUUUGCACAUGAGGUGUCUUGCUUAUAUGUUGGUGAUAGCUCCACCCUCAUCUUGUCAUCAUGGCAGCUCUUUACAGAAUGCUAGGUCAUGAUCCCGAGUCUGGUCUUGAGGAUCUGUGCUGUGAGAAAUUCUGGACAUAAACAUGACCACGUAACCUGACAUAUUAUCUUUAUCACUGUAUUGAGGCCUCUGAUCCUUUUGAAGUGGGUCAAAUUCAGUGACCAAGCAAACACUCAGUCCGUUAGUGAAAAGAGGGACUUUUGUUGACAGGGAUUCUAAAUUCUUGACAUAUUCACAGUGUUCCCACAGCAGAGGAGCAAAAAACAAAGAAAUGAGUGGCUCUCACUGCAACUUGCAAUGAAUGAAACUCACCGAGAGAAAUUCGUCCUGGCAUUCUGGAGGUCUCUGAACCUCACUGUGCUUUAUCUCUCGUAUGAUUCUGUAGGACUGGCAGGUACAGAUGAAGGUUUUGCAAGCCUGAGUCUUCUGUGAUUUCAGAGGCUCUUCUUUAGAAAAAGAAAAUGAAAUUGCAGAAUCAAGUUUCUUGGGCCCAGGACACUAAGAUAUCCUGAAAUACAGGCUGAAUUGCUUCAUGGUAAAACCCUCUGAAAGAGAUGGGAAUACCAGACCACCUGACCUGCCUCUUGAGAAAUUUGUAUGCAGGUCAGGAAGCAACAGUUUAGAACUGGACAUGGA